rfam:Biomphalaria glabrata isolate BB02 unplaced genomic scaffold LGTN_random_Scaffold2104, whole genome shotgun sequence.
AGGCUAUGAGGAAGAAAGAAAAAAUGAUAUACAUGAUUGCAGUAAUACGCUAUUCUGAGCCUGUU